UGGGGAAUAUUGGGCAAUGGAGGAAACUCUGACCCAGCGACGCCGCGUGGGGGAUGACGCACCUCGGUGUGUAAACCCCUUUUCCACGGGACGAAGGCAGUGACGGUACCGUGGGAAGAAGGACCGGCUAACUACGUGCCAGCAGCCGCGGUAACACGUAGGGUCCGAGCGUUGUCCGGAAUUACUGGGCGUAAAGCGCGCGCAGGCGGUUGGGGUCGGCGCCGGGGAAAGCCCCCCGCUCACCGGGGG
rnacentral:rRNA from 1 species